UGGGGGAUAUUGCACAAUGGGCGAAAGCCUGAUGCAGCGACGCCGCGUGGGGGAUGAAGGCUUUCGGGUUGUAAACCUCUUUCGCUAUCGAACAAGGCCCGCUUAGGGUGGGUUGAGGGUAGGUGGAGAAGAAGCGCCGGCUAACUACGUGCCAGCAGCCGCGGUAAUACGUAGGGCGCGAGCGUUGUCCGGAAUUAUUGGGCGUAAAGGGCUUGUAGGCGGCUUGUUGCGCCUGCUGUGAAAACGCGGGGCUUAACUUCGCGCGUGCGUGGGUUACGGGAAGGCUGGAGUUUGGUGGGGGUGACGGGAAUUCCAGGUUUGGCGGUGGAAUGCGAAGAGAUCUGAGGAACACCGAUGGCGAAGGCAGGUCACUGGGCCAUUACUGACGCUGAGGAGCGAAAGCAUGGGUAGCGAACAGG
rnacentral:rRNA from 1 species